AAACUCCAUUGUUGAGUUACGCGGCAGACGCAGAGAAAAUUUGUUCAGCAAGAAAACUAUCGCUUUCCCUUGGGAAAAUCAUCAGAAAAUCUUGAAUUCAUCCGUAUGAUGGAGCCACGAUAUAGAUAUUUCGUUAUUUAAUCAUAAAAGAAUGUCAAACGAUAAAGAAGAGCAAUUUAGAACUUAUAGAGAAGAUAGACGAAUUCCGUGUCGAUAUGGGACUAAAUGUUAUCAAAAAAAUGCAAUUCAUCUUGAAAAAUAUAAACAUCCACCUACAAAAGAACGG